UAUAUAUAUAUAUAUAGCUCAUUAGAACACAUUUUUAUAUAGAUUUUAUAUUCACAAAUACUUCAGGUUUUACUUUUAGAAAGGUGUUUUCAGGUUUUGAUUGAGCCAAGAAGACUGUUUCCAAGAUUUGAACUUAUGACCUCAUGGUUACUAAUGGGGCCCAGUACACGAGAGGCUCCGACUCAGUGGGGUCAAGGGAGGGUAGAUGUAUGCAACCUUGCAGCACAAGCAGAGAAACUCAUGACCUCAUGGUCACUAAGCAAACAACAUUACCAUUCCGACUCUAAGGAGGGACAAAGUGCUUUUUUAAAUUAAAUACUGGAUAAGAUGAUCAUGCUGUAAUGUUUUUUGGAUGACUACCUAAACCAGACUCAGCAACAUAUCCAAACAUGUAUUGGUAUGCAAUACCAAGUAUUGGCUCACUUCUUAAGGGUCUUGCUCAGGUGGCAUGCUAACCAACCAGUUCUACCCUGCUUGAUCAAGAGAAUAUGCAAAGACAUUUGACAAUGACAUUCAUCAGCUAUGAAUAGGGAUCAAUUGAAGCCAAUGUUAUUUGCAUGCUUUCACUGCUUCUACUUGGAUUGUCAUUGGUAAUAUGAUACAUUAUUUACACAAUUACUUUAAAAAAAUAGUUGUACCCUUACUCUUACUGUGUUUAUGGGUACUGUAUCUACAUGGCUG